rnacentral:rRNA from 1 species
AGAGAUUGAACAUACGUGUUUGCUCCUGGCUCAGAUUGAACGAUGGCCGCAUGCUUUACACAUGCAAGUCGGACGGCAGCACGAGGCAGCUUGAUUCUCGGGUCGCGCGUGGCGAACGGUCGAGUAACAUAUCGCAACG